rnacentral:ncRNA from 1 species
AACAGGGGAGCCGAGAGGCUGAGAGGAAGCAUUGCUUCGACCCUUAAACCUGAUGUGGGUAAUGCCACCGUAGGAAGGAUC